rnacentral:tRNA from 1 species
CGCUGGGAAGCUGAAUAAGGAUUAGCGCUAGCCUUUUAAGCUAGAAAUUGGUGACUACCGCCCACCCCUAACGA